CAAUGGAUCGAACACAGUUAGAAGCAGUAUACCAAGUUAAGGAACUUAGUGUUAAGAGAAGACUCAAGAGCAUAUUUGUUUUUCUGUGCUACAGAUCGCUGCAUUCUGAUUGAGUAGUUGCUGCCUGCCAGAAGUUAUGAGUCUUGUCCUGGGGAAUUCCAGGUUAAACUUCAAAAACAAGAACAUAUAUGCAGGUACAAUCAAUGCCCCCUGGACAACAAUUCUAGUCCUGGAUCAUUCCUUGACAACAGCCAGAAACAUAGACAAUGAGCCAGAGUCUACGCCCACAGGAUAUAUGUAAGUCUAAUUGACUUCAGAUGGAGUUACUUGUAUGCUGCAAUGGAAGAAUCAUGCCCCAUUAGUUUGAUCCUACUUCUAGUGAAGUUAACGAGAGAACUGGAAAGAGUCAAUGUCCUGUUAUCAAUGACUGCAAAAAUUAAGAAUGUAUCUUAUUAGACUACCUUAUACUAUCUUAUAACUGUACAUAGCUAUUCUUUUAGACUUAGCUGGUUGAGGCAUGGACUGGCAUUACUAUAGGCAUGUACAGUGCCUAGCAUAAUAGGGUCCUGACCUGCUUGACCUCUAGGCACUACUGUCUAUACAAAGGUUAAACGAUAAAUAUUUAUACCAAGCUGCAUUUGUGUUUACAUCAGAAAUAGUCAUGCAUCCUGGCUUCUUCAGGACCACAUGAAGUCCCAUUACGAAUGCACACUUUUGGCUACUUUGUUCCCAGCAUAUUUUUUUUGAUUCAUAAUUAUUGUACAGCCCUCUCCCACAAUUCUUAUGCUUCAAAAUAGUGGUUCACUCAGCUAUUGUACCAACACAUACCUGCCUCAGACCCAUGAAGCCAGCAGCAUCCAUCAGUCAAUCUGUGAAACUUUUUUUUAAAUCUUGGCCUUAAUGAUU